AUGUACCCUGUAGCUUGGGCUGUAGUCAAAAAAGAAACAUACGAGUCCUGGUUCUGGUUUGUUGAGAAGUUAAACAGAGACCUCAAAAUCAAUAAUCAAGGGGAUGGGUGGGUGUUCAUCUCAGACCAGCAGAAAGGAUUAAUAGGGGCUGUAGAGGAUAUUCUUCCAAAAGCAGAACAUAGGAUGUGUGCAAGGCACAUUUACUCCAACUGGAAGAAAAAACAUAAUGACAAAGAUUUGCAAAAGAGAUUCUGGAGAUGUGCGAAGGCUCCUAACAGAUCUCUGUUCAACUAUAACAGAGCACGAUUGGCUCAAUUCACAGUUGAAGGAGCAAAGGACAUGAUGAAUACAGACCCAAUUCACUAG
rnacentral:rRNA from 1 species